UCUCCCAUCUUUUUUCUCUCCUCUUCUUUUUAUUUCUCUUUUUUCUCCCCAUGGCCGCCAGCAACAUCGCGGUGCUGCACCCUCCUCCUCCCCUUCCAUUUCCCCACGACCACACCGUGCCCCUACGCGGGUCCUCUUCAUUCCCCAACAGCAGGCGGCCGCGCCAUGGCAUCAAGGCGGGGCGCGCAUCGAUCUACGUGCGGUGCGACCUCGGGAGGCAGCUGGGAUGGUGGCGACGCCGUCGGCAUGGAGAUGGGCCAGCAAGCAGGGACAGGGGAGGUCACGUACAGCCACCUCGACCACAGAUCCAUCCGCGACCGGCUACCGGCGACCAACCACCAGCAGCUAGAAGCGUCGGUGGGCAGUUGUGGCGCCUGACCGCAUAUAUUCCUCUACAUCCUCUUUCUUUCUCUGGCCUCUCUUCUUCUGGAUGGGGCAGGGGAGGGUGCUGACCUUCGCUGCCGCGCCAUUGGCUACACGACGACAUGGGCAUCCCUACCAGCCUCGGGUUGUAGAAGGAGCGGCGGGGGUCGGGGUGAUGAUAACAGUAGCGCGCCAUUCCCUGACCACCGGCAACCAGUUCUGAGGAGGACAAAAAGCAAGUCAGUCCUCACAUCUGAGCCUUCCUUUCCUAAUUUGCUUUCCGGAUACGUCACUAGGCACAGUCGUGAAUUUUACAGGGGAGUGAAGCAUACCAGCUGCAUGUUUCCUAGGGAUUCUAUAUGGUGCUGCUGGUAGAUGAGUCAUUCCUGGAUGUUACCAAGCCUUGUGGAAAACCUCAGCAUACUAUGGCACCAGAGCUUCCAUUGAUUUUACUAUUUUGCCUGCUUAAAGUCUGUGUUAUGUGUUCAUCAGGAUACAUCUUGCACCGACGAGAUCAGAAGGUCCAGGUCAUUGUUUUGAGCCGUGUUACGGAAACUGAGUCAGCAUCACAUUAUUUCUAGGAUGGUUGAACAUAGAGACUGAUAUAGAUGAUGACUAGAUCUUAAACUGAGGUAAAUGAACAAACUUCUCCAAUCCGUUUUUUAAACUUACUUUAUUAAGAAAAAAUUGCUUUACCUCUGUGAUUGCGAUUAUAUGUUUGUAAUACAUGGGAUUGUGGAAUUUCAGCUGCACACACUCUUCUCUAUAUAUAUACAUAUGUAUGAUAUUGUAAGAUGAUAACAGCUUCCAAGGAUUAUUCCUAGCUAGGUAGAACAAUAAAUUCUCACAAGCCUCCAAUAGGUCACUCUUCUAAAAAAAAAAUUACAUUAGUUAAGCAAGCAGGCUGUUUGUUUAUCCUAGAAUGAUACCCUUUGUCUUUAAUUAAUCAAUUUUAUAGACAGGUUGCUCAUUAUAAUCUUCUCUUUCAUACAACUAAUUCUUCCCGAAGAAGUUCUAAUAAAUAAUCAAAAGUGAAGCACGAUGAUAUUGUUGUACUAUGAGUAUUUUGUGAAACCACAUGUAAUCUACCAACUAAAAUUUCUUCCAAUUUGAUGCAUCCAUACGAACAAACAGUAGCUUGACUAACUUCUUUUUUCUGCAAGCAAUGAAGUAAAACAAAACAUAGUCCCCACAUUUCAUUGGGCCGACUGCCGAGACUAGAGCACCUGAUAAUCUAAAGCAGCUCAGGAAGACCGUUUAUGCACGCAAGGAUUUCUGACCAAAUCAGAACUCCCCUCAUCCCCUACAAACAUGGCCCCACCCUGUGAUCCAGAGAGAGAGAGUACGUGGGAGGAAGAAGUACCAGCGGCCGGCCGCUCCCACCGUAAACUAUGGAGGCGAAUUCCCCUGUUUUUUUUCCAUCGGGGAUGGAUUAGAGUCAGUUUUGCAAGGGGCGAGCAGCAGCAGCUGUGGCGGCGCACCAACCGUUGGUAGUAGAGGAGCAGCGUGCGAGGAAGCACAAUGGACAGAAGGGCUAGGCUAGGGCAUGGAGAAGACUCACCAUAGGGACAACAAUGCAUCGGGGUGGUAGAUGCAUCCAGAAAGGAGCACCUGCCGGCGUUCACUCCUCCCGUAUUCGCUCCGACGCGUCACCCUCCGUGUUGCCAUCCUCCUUCCUUGGGAAGAAAAAGGCGGCAAGCUCCUUCUCCGCACCGCCGGUGACCUCGGGAGAAAGAGGAGGGCUUGUCGCGCAUGGGCCCGACGCGCCGAUGAAUGCGUCGCAUGCGCCACAGUGGCUAGGGAGGGGAGGGGGAAGCCUGGGGAAGGGUUGUGGGCGGCAGCCGGUGAGGGAUGGCAGAGGUGGAGGGCUCGGAGAGGUAGGGGGAACAAAUUAGCAGUUGGCUCCGAACCAGAUGCAGUGUUGAGCGGCAGAGCUGGAUCGUUCCUUUCUGGAAAGGUGGGCACCGCUUUGACCUGCUGAACCAACACUACAACCACACAUUAAAUGCACCAAAGCAGCUCACAAACGAAGCAGCUCGAAGAAAAUGUACUACGGAGCACCGAAACUCACCACAAUGUUAAUUCCUAAAUCUCCUCAAAAUUCUAAGAAAAAAGAGGUUGGUUGCCCUUUAAUAUAGUAGUUAUAUUAUCCUUCAAUAAUGAAAUCCGAUUUGACGGACGCGUUUGGAAAAAGAAGCGUAGAGCUUCUUACAUAACUGGAAGAAAAGGUAGAAAAGUGAGAUAAGCUAUUCAAAAGGUAGAGUAAGUGGAACGCUUCAUCUGACCAUGCAUACAUUCCCGCUAAAGGAAAUGAACAAACUUACUAAC